UACGGGGGGGGCAAGCGUUGUUCGGAAUUACUGGGCGUAAAGGGCGCGUAGGCGGUUCGAUAAGUCAGCUGUGAAAACCAUGGGCUUAACUCAUGGCCUGCAGUUGAGACUGUCGGGCUGGAGUGCGGUAGAGGGUAGUGGAAUUUCCGGUGUAGCGGUGAAAUGCGUAGAUAUCGGAAGGAACACCAGUGGCGAAGGCGGCUACCUGGACUGACACUGACGCUGAGGCGCGAGAGCGUGGGGAGCAAGCAGG
rnacentral:rRNA from 1 species